GACGAACGCUGGCGGCGUGCUUAACACAUGCAAGUCGAACGGAAAGGCCCUGCUUUUGUGGGGUGCUCGAGUGGCGAACGGGUGAGUAACACGUGAGUACCCUGCCCUUGACUUUGGGAUAACUUCAGGAAACUUGGGCUAAUACCGGAUAGGAGCUCCUGCUGCAUGGUGGGGGUUGGAAAGUUUCGGCGGUUGGGGAUGGACUCGCGGCUUAUCAGCGUGUUGGUGGGGUAGUGGCUUACCAAGGCUUUGACCGGUAGCCGGCCUGAGAGGGGGACCAGGGACAAUGGGACUGCGGUAGGGCGCAGUGUGCAACGGGGGGCAGUGGGGGGGAAUAUGACACAGUGAGGGGGAGCCUAAGACGACGGCGCUGCGGGCGGGAUGUCGGCCUGUAGGGUGUGAACAGCUUUCGCCUGUGACGGGGCGGGAAUGACGGUAAUGUAUAAAGAAGCACCGGCUAACUACGUG
rnacentral:rRNA from 1 species